rnacentral:rRNA from 1 species
UUCCGGUUGAUCCUGCCAGAGGUCACUGCUAUUGGGAUUCGACUAAGCCAUGCGAGUCGUGAGGGUUCGGCCCUCGGCAGACGGCUCAGUAACACGUAGAUAAUUUGCCCUUAGGUGGAGGAUACCCUCGGGAAACUGAGAAUAAUACUCCAUAGAUCUAGACUGCUGGAAUGCUUUUAGAUUGAAAGAUUUAUCGCCUAAGGAUAAGUCUGCGGACUAUCAGGUCGUAGUUAGGGUAACUACCUGACUAGCCUACGACGGAUACGGGUUGUGAGAGCACUAGCCCGGAGAUGAUAUCUGAGACACGAUAUCAGGCCCUACGGGGCGCAGCAGGCGCGAAAACUUCGCACUGUGCGAAAGCACGACGAGGGAAUCCCAAGUGCUGGCUCGUAAGAGUCAGCUGUUUCUUUGUCUAAAAAACAGAGAGAGUAAGGGCUGGGUAAGACGGGUGCCAGCCGCCGCGGUAUACCUGCAGCCCAAGUGGUGGCCGCUAUUAUUGGGCCUAAAACGUCCGUAGCCGGUUCUAUAAAUGCCUGGGUAAAUCGUACGGCUUAACCGUACGAAUUCCGGGUAGACUGUUUAACUUGGGACCGGGAGAGGCUAGAGGUACUCCUGGGGUAGAGGUGAAAUUCUGUAAUCCUAGGGGGACCACCAGUGGCGAAGGCGUCUAGCUAGAACGGGUCUGACGGUGAGGGACGAAGCCCUGGGGAGCAAACNGGAUUAGAUACCCCGGUAGUCAGGGUGUAAACGCUGCUCGCUUGAUGUUAGUCGGGCUCCGAGCCCAACUAGUGUCGGAGAGAAGUUGUUAAGCGAGCUGCCUGGGGAGUACGGUCGCGAGACUGAAACUUAAAGGAAUUGGCGGGGGAGCACCGCAACGGGUGGAGCGUGCGGUUUAAUUGGAUUCAACCCC